rnacentral:rRNA from 1 species
UACGUAGGGUGCAAGCGUUGUCCGGAAUUAUUGGGCGUAAAGAGCUCGUAGGCGGUCUGUCGCGUCGGAUGUGAAAAUCCAGGGCUCAACCCUGGACCUGCAUUCGAUACGGGCAGACUUGAGUUCGGUAGGGGAGACUGGAAUUCCUGGUGUAGCGGUGAAAUGCGCAGAUAUCAGGAGGAACACCGGUGGCGAAGGCGGGUCUCUGGGCCGAUACUGACGCUGAGGAGCGAAAGCGUGGGGAGCGAACAGG